rnacentral:rRNA from 1 species
AGAGAUGAGGAGCUUGCUCUUCAAAUCGAGUGGCGAACGGGUGAGUAACGCGUGAGGAACCUGCCUCAAAGAGGGGGACAACAGUUGGAAACGACUGCUAAUACCGCAUAAGCCCACGGCCCGGCAUCGGGCUGAGGGAAAAGGAUUUAUUCGCUUCAGGAUGGACUCGCGUCCAAUUAGCUAGUUGGUGAGGUAACGGCCCACCAAGGCGACGAUCAGUAGCCGGACUGAGAGGUUGAACGGCCACAUUGGGACUGAGAUACGGCCCAGACUCC